CAGAUACAGGUGUGACAAUCAUGCUUUACAUUCACGUACAUAAGCAGGUGUGACAACCACACUUUACUUACACGUACAUAUGCAGAUGUGACAAUCAUGCUCACGGUUAAUGGAUAGGUUACGCAAAUGACAAAUGGCGGAACCGUUGAACUUUGAAACUUCGCUAAACUAUGCAUGCACAAUUUAAGGAUACAAUUUGAGCUAAAAGAUCAGCGAACUUAAAAGACUGAAACAUAUUUACAAUGGGAAUGACUGCAUUUGCUGCUUUGCUCCACUGGAUAUAGGAUAAUUCUGAUAGCCAUGUUUGGAAAUUCAGAGUUCUCUUUCUUGGUAAUAGUAAUAGACUAUUUUCAUAUCCAUGCCUAUUUGCGCUUAUACAGGGCCCAGUCGUAAAACAUGGCCACGAGAGGGGUAAUGAGACGCCACCCGGUUUGCCGGAAUGACACGAGUUGUUACGAAUGAUCAUCAGCCAUGUAUAUUCGACUACCGGUUGCGCCAUGAAGCUUGAUUGGCUCAUUAGGUACAGCCAGUACUCGUUCUAACAGACACAUCGUUUAGAUAACUGAAGCCAAACUGUAUUAAAGCUCUCGUGACAGGCACUCCACACAGGGUUACGCGUAACCUGAGUCUAUACAAUCUAAAUGGCAUUAUGGGUAACGAUAAAGCCAUAACACGUAAACUCCUUUAACCAAUUAAAAAGCAUAUAUAGAUUUUACCUGAGGCAAUUACAUUUUAUUCGUUAA